AUUAAGUCUCUGACUUGACUUAUUGCUGGAGGCUUAUUAAAACUAUAAAAAUUAAUCACUAUAAGGAUAUAGAAUCUUUCCACAGCUGCCAACAAGUCAUAAACUCCAGUAUCACCACCACCAGCCUGAUGAUUAGACAUCAGUUGAGAGACUCCCUCUAGCCCCACUUAAAAAAGGUCUUUAUGAAAUGUUAUUAACUAACCCUUGUGCUGUUAAGUUGCAGGGCUUUGACUCCUGGGUACAUGUAUCUCAUCUGAAAGGGAAUCCUGACGCCUACUGAAUCUUAAUAGUCAAUAUUGAUAUCUGGCAUCAAAUUCAAGUUGACCAAAGUUCCAUCUUCAGACCUGGGAGAAGAUGACAGUCAAAAUGAACUGCUUUCAUGUGACACUGGACCAGGCCUAUAUACAAAGGUCUUUAGAAAAUAACUUAACUCCUCCAAGCAAUUGCCAAACAGAAAACCUUGGCAUCUUCCUAUGACCUGUAAGCACCCACUUUCCCCUGCUUUAAGUUGUCCUACCCUUCUG
rnacentral:lncRNA from 10 species